UGGGGAAUAUUGGACAAUGGGCACAAGCCUGAUCCAGCCAUGCCGCGUGAGUGAUGAAGGCCCUAGGGUUGUAAAGCUCUUUCACCGGUGAAGAUAAUGACGGUAACCGGAGAAGAAGCCCCGGCUAACUUCGUGCCAGCAGCCGCGGUAAUACGAAGGGGGCUAGCGUUGUUCGGAUUUACUGGGCGUAAAGCGCACGUAGGCGGACUUUUAAGUCAGGGGUGAAAUCCCGGGGCUCAACCCCGGAACUGCCUUUGAUACUGGAAGUCUUGAGUAUGGUAGAGGUGAGUGGAAUUCCGAGUGUAGAGGUGAAAUUCGUAGAUAUUCGGAGGAACACCAGUGGCGAAGGCGGCUCACUGGACCAUUACUGACGCUGAGGUGCGAAAGCGUGGGGAGCAAACAGG
rnacentral:rRNA from 1 species